GGGGUGCAACACGAGGACUUCCCAGGAGGUCACCCAUCCUAGUACUACUCUCGCCCAAGCGCGCUUAACUGCAAAGUUCUGAUGGGAUCCGGUGCAUUAGUGCUGGUAUGAUCGCACCC
rnacentral:rRNA from 1 species